rnacentral:rRNA from 1 species
UACGGGGGGGGCAAGCGUUGUUCGGAAUUACUGGGCGUAAAGGGCCCGUAGGCGGCCAACUAAGUCGGAUGUGAAAUCCCCAGGCUCAACUUGGGAACUGCAUCCGAUACUGGAUGGCUUGAAUUCGGGAGAGGGAUGCAGAAUUCCAGGUGUAGCGGUGAAAUGCGUAGAUAUCUGGAGGAAUACCGGUGGCGAAGGCGGCAUCCUGGACCGAGAUUGACACUGAUGAGCGAAAGCCAGGGGAGCAAACGGG